CCUACGGGAGGCAGCAGUGGGGAAUAUUGCGCAAUGGGCGAAAGCCUGACGCAGCGACGCAGCGUGAGGGAUGAAGGUCUUCGGAUCGUAAACCUCUGUCAGCAGGGAAGAACGGUCACUGUGCUAAUCAGCAGUGAAUUGACGGUACCUCACUAAGAAGCCCCGGCUAACUACGUGCCAGCAGCCGCGGUAAUACGUAGGGGGCAAGCGUUAUCCGGAUUUACUGGGUGUAAAGGGAGCGUAGACUGUGUGGCAAGUCUGAAGGUAAAGCCCGGGGCUCAACCCCGGGACUGUCUUGGAAACUGUCAUGCUGGAGUGCUGGAGAGGUAAGCGGAAUUCCUAGUGUAGCGGUGAAAUGCGUAGAUAUUAGGAGGAACACCAGUGGCGAAAGCGGCUUACUGGACAGUAACUGACGUUGAGGCUCGAAAGCGUGGGGAGCAAACAGGAUUAGAUACCCCUGUAGUC
rnacentral:rRNA from 1 species